GAGAAAAUGCAGUGUUUACAUUACAGCCUAGUGAUAACUUCACUGGCCACUCCUCAGAUGGCUGUUAGAGAUCCUUCCUGGGUCAUGGCUGCCUAAAAUACAUCCAAACAUUCAGUGUCUCCUCCCUCUGCAUGCAGACACUGAACUUUCCUCAUAGAGAUUCAUUGAUUCAAUUCAUCUCUAUGAGGAGAUGCUGAUUGGCCAGGGCGGUGUUUGAAUCAUGCUGGCUCUGCCCCUGAU